rnacentral:rRNA from 1 species
AGAAUCAACGCUGGCGGCGUGCCUAACACAUGCAAGUCGAACGAGAAAGUGGGAGCAAUCCCACGAGUAAAGUGGCGCACGGGUGAGUAACACGUGACUAACCUACCCUUGAGUGGGGGAUAACCUAGGGAAACCUGGGCUAAUACCGCAUAAUACCUACGGGUCAAAGGAGCAAUUCGCUUAAGGAGGGGGUCGCGGCAGAUUAGUUAGUUGGCGGGGUAAUGGCCCACCAAGACAGUGAUCUGUAUCCGGCCUGAGAGGGGCGCGACGGACGACGACCUGGAACUGAAACACGGUCCAGACUCCUACGGGAGGCAGCAGUGGGGAAUUUGCGCAAUGGGGGAAACCCUGACGCAGCAACGCCGCGUGGAGGAUGAAGCCCCUUGGGGCGUAAACUCCUUUCGAUCGGGAAGAUAAUGACGGUACCGGAAGAAGAAGCCCCGGCUAACUUCGUGCCAGCAGCCGC